rnacentral:rRNA from 1 species
CCUACGGGAGGCAGCAGUGGGGAAUAUUGCACAAUGGGGGGAACCCUGAUGCAGCAACGCCGCGUGGGUGAAGAAGUACUUCGGUAUGUAAAGCCCUGUCAGCAGGGCAGAAAAUGACGGUACCUGACCUAGAAGCCCCGGCUAACUACGUGCCAGCAGCCGCGGUAAUACGUAGGGGGCAAGCGUUAUCCGGAUUUACUGGGUGUAAAGGGAGCGUAGACGGCAAGGCAAGUCUGGAGUGAAAGCCCGUGGCUCAACCACGGGACUGCUUUGGAAACUGUGUUGCUGGAGUGCAGGAGGGGUAAGCGGAAUUCCUAGUGUAGCAGUGAAAUGCGUAGAUAUUAGGAGGAACACCGGUGGCGAAGGCGGCUUACUGGACUGUAACUGACGUUGAGGCUCGAAGGCGUGGGGAGCAAACAGGAUUAGAUACCCCUGUAGUC